rnacentral:rRNA from 1 species
CUGGCUCAGGAUGAACGCUGGCGGCGUGCUUAAUACAUGCAAGUCGAACGAAGACAUCUCGCCGAAGCUUGCUUCAGUUGAGAUAUCUUAGUGGCGGACGGGUGAGUAACGCGUGGGUAACCUGCCUUACACAGGGGGAUAACAGUUAGAAAUGACUGCUAAUACCGCAUAAGCGCACAUUAUCGCAUGAUAGAGUGUGAAAAGAUUUAUCGGUGUAAGAUGGACCCGCGUCUGAUUAGCUAGUUGGUGAGGUAACGGCCCACCCAAGGCGACGAUCAGUAGCCGGCCUGAGAGGGUGAACGGCCACAUUGGGACUGAGACACGGCCCAAACUCCUACGGGAGGCAGCAGUAGGGAAUAUUGGACAAUGGGGGAAACCCUGAUUCCCAGCGACACCGCGUGAGUGAAGAAGUAUUUCGGUACGUAAAGCUCUAUCAGCAGGGAAGAAAAUGACGGUACCUGACUAAGAAGCACCGGCUAAAUACGUGCCAGCCGCCGC